rnacentral:rRNA from 1 species
UACGUAGGCAGCGAGCGUUGUUCGGAGUUACUGGGCGUAAAGAGUGCGUAGGCGGUUUUCUAAGUUUGGUGUGAAAUCUCCCGGCUUAACUGGGAGGGUGCGCCGAAAACUGGAAGGCUUGAGUAUGGGAGAGGUAAGCGGAAUUCCUGGUGUAGCGGUGAAAUGCGCAGAUAUCGGGAGGAACACCAGUAGCGAAGGCGGCACUCUGGGCCGGUACUGACGCUGAGGAGCGAAAGCGUGGGGAGCGAACAGG